rnacentral:rRNA from 1 species
GUGGGGGAAUAUUGCACAAUGGGCGCAAGCCUGAUGCAGCCAUGCCGCGUGUGUGAAGAAGGCCUUCGGGUUGUAAAGCACUUUCAGCGAGGAGGAAGGCGUUAAGGUUAAUAACCUUAGCGAUUGACGUUACUCGCAGAAGAAGCACCGGCUAACUCCGUGCCAGCAGCCGCGGUAAUACGGAGGGUGCAAGCGUUAAUCGGAAUUACUGGGCGUAAAGCGCACGCAGGCGGUUUGUUAAGUCAGAUGUGAAAUCCCCGAGCUUAACUUGGGAACUGCAUUUGAAACUGGCAAGCUAGAGUCUUGUAGAGGGGGGUAGAAUUCCAGGUGUAGCGGUGAAAUGCGUAGAGAUCUGGAGGAAUACCGGUGGCGAAGGCGGCCCCCUGGACAAAGACUGACGCUCAGGUGCGAAAGCGUGGGGCAGCAAAACAGGAUUAGAUACCCUGGUAGUC